GCACUGUCUAGUGACGGAACGCGCCCGAGCAUUGGAGCAUGCCCGGCGGGAGGAUGGUGUGCCACGAGGCGGAGUAUGUCAGGCAGGAGGCGCUCGUGCCAUGCGCUACGCGGGCGGCGUGCGCGGAUGGCGAAGCAAGUCCGGCGUGCGCGGAUGGCGAAGCAAGUCCGGCGUGUGCAGGCGGCGGAGCAUGUCCGGCGUACGCGGGCGGCGGAGCACGUUGUGCGCGGAUGGCGAGCAAGUCCGGGGUGCACGCGGGCAGCGGAGCAUGUUGUGCGCGGAUGACGGUGGAGCAUGUCCGGCGUGCGCGGGCGGCGGAGCAUGCUGUGCGCGGAUGGCGGAGCAUAUACGUCUUGCGCGGGUGGCGAAGCAAGUCGGGCGUGCGCGGGGGAGGCGGAGCAUGUCCGGCGUGCGCCGGUGGCGGCGGAGCAUGUCCGGCGUGCGCGGAC
rnacentral:lncRNA from 1 species